GAAGAUAUAAAGCCAAAGCCUCAUACGGACUUUAGCUACACCAUCAAAGCUUUUGAGAAGCAAGAAGAAGCUUAGUUAGUUUUUUGGAGUCAAAUAUUACUAGAUGUUAUGUGUAAGAGUGAGUAUGCAGCUAGUACAGCAACCGGAUCUUAAAAACCUAAGUAUUGAAUCUUUGUUAGAAGAUACAAAGACAAAGACUUAUAUAGACUUCGGCUACACCAUCAAAGCUUUGAGAAGCAAGAAGAAGCUUGGUUAUUGUUUUGGAGUCGAAUAUGACUUGAUGUCAUGUGUAUGAUUCAGUAAAAGAACUUAAACCGCAACCGGAUCUUAAAAGCCUAAGUAGUGUUUCCUUGUUAGAAGAUACAAAGCCAAAGACUCAUACGGACUUCAUUUACACCAUCAAAGCUUUGAGAAGCAAGAAGAGGCUUGGUUAAUGUUGUGGAGUCAAAUAUGACUAGAUGUCA
rnacentral:sRNA from 1 species